rfam:Nicotiana sylvestris Nsyl_contig97549, whole genome shotgun sequence.
AUAGUCCCUUCGGCUAUAUCUGAAAAGAUUGAAAAAUUAUAGAGAAGAUUAACAUGACUUUUGCGCAAGUAUGACACAUACAAAUCAAUGAAUAAACUAAAAUUUU